rnacentral:rRNA from 1 species
CCAGACUCCUACGGGAGGCAGCAGUGGGGGAUAUUGCACAAUGGGGGAAACCCUGAUGCAGCGACGCCGCGUGUGGGAAGACGGUCCUCUGGAUUGUAAACCACUGUCCCCAGGGAAGAAAAUGACGGUACCUGACUAAGAAGCCCCGGCUAACUACGUGCCAGCAGCCGCGGCAAUACGUAGGGGGCAAGCGUUAUCCGGAUUUACUGGGUGUAAAGGGAGCGUAGACGGCAGUGCAAGUCCGGAGUGAAAGCCCGGGGCUCAACCCUGGGACUGCUCUGGAAACUGGAAAGCUGGAGUGCGGGAGGGGCAGGCGGAAUUCCUGGUGUAGCGGUGAAAUGCGUAGAUAUUAGGAGGAACACCGGUGGCGAAGGCGGCCUGCUGGACUGUAACUGACACUGAGGCUCGAAAGCGUGGGGAGCAAACAGGAUUAGAUACCCGCGUAG